AUACGGAGGGUGCAAGCGUUAAUCGGAAUUACUGGGCGUAAAGCGUGCGCAGGCGGUUUUGUAAGUCAGAUGUGAAAUCCCCGGGCUUAACCUGGGAACUGCGUUUGAAACUGCAAGGCUAGAGUGUGGCAGAGGGGGGUGGAAUUCCGCGUGUAGCAGUGAAAUGCGUAGAUAUGUGGAGGAACACCGAUGGCGAAGGCAGCCCCCUGGGUCAGCACUGACGCUCAGGCACGAAAGCAUGGGGAGCAAACAGGAGUAGAAACCCCAGUAGUCC
rnacentral:rRNA from 1 species